CUUUUAGGGCCAGUCGAAUAAUGGCUCUUCGAUGACACAAACCGAUUUCAAAUCCGGCUCACUUCCCUUAUUAUUGCUUCCUUUCUCCAGAAAAUUGCCAACUUCACAUGGAGCGAUGGAAGUCCUGCGGGUGACGCUUUCAAGGAGCAGGAAAUUUCAUUCGAUUCUUUUCAGGAAUACAUUUGGAGACUGAAUGAUCCCUACUGCGCCUUUUUAGACGCCCACGGUUCGUGGAGUCUUCAACCUUGCAGCCUGAUUGAGAAAGAAUUCAUCUGUGAGAAAGAUCCCUCACCACAUCGCGCUGAUAGAUGUGAAACUACCGCAAACUACAACUUCAAGGACUUGACUGAAAAUGCGGAAUUGACUGUGAGAGAGGAACUUAAUGCAUAUAUACCCGAUAUGACAGGUAACGGAAGAACGCUAUCUAUCUGUGUAACGUCACCGUUUUAUCAAGGCAGCAAGACAAUUUUAAUCUUAAACAAUGUAACCUCGUUCUCUCUCGGCUAUUGUUUGGUAUUGUCUUCUGUUUGAUUUGUUUAGAAUCUUCUCAUAAAUAAAAUGCUACAAACGGAUUAUGAUCAAAAUCUGUAUGUGGAAGUAUAUGUUUGGGGAAGAAGUCAAAGACAACUUUGAUCGUUUAGCUUCAUUUUGUUGUCGCUACCUUCCAUGAAAAUAUAUAUCGUUUCUAAUGUGCUUGUCUCUGUAUGCUUUUCCUGAUAUUUGUGAUCAACAAAACUUCAAAACAUCCAUACAGGACUGUGAUCUUGCUUAUUAUAUGUCAAGAUAGGACCUUUUACUCAGUGUUCGUGUUAGGUACAUAGUACUAUCAUCUAGUGUUUAUGCUACCAUACUUCCAUACGGAUUGCUCUCCAGUGUAAGUGUUAUCAUGGGUCCAUAAGAACGACUUUCGCAACGCCGCUCUGAUUUUGAAAAGUUUAGAAAGUGCUUAAUUUAAUCGGAAUGAAUACGGUAAUAACCAUCUGGGCCAAAAUAUGUACACUACUAUAGAGGUUUAUAACAGUUGAUUCUCCCCAAGAAAAUUUGAAAUCAUCUCUAUAGAUCGUUUUCUGUUUCUUAUUGGUGUGAACGUAUGUACGUGGAAGACAUUAGGCUCUGGGUAAAGGGUGGUCCCCUCUUCUCUUGGUACUGCAGCAGCAGGUUAAGGCAUACUUUGUUGUGGACAUGCCCCAGCCUCAAUUUUCUGGCGGCAGAUAUAUUUUGAUUUUAUUCACAAUUGUUUUAGAUAUG